ACCUAAUUAGUUUAAAAUCAAAACAUUAGUUUGUGACACUAAAAACGGGAAUCUUAUCAAACCCAUUAGGUC
rnacentral:tRNA from 1 species